GAGUUUGAUCGUGGCUCAGAUUGAACGCUGGCGGCAUGCCUUACACAUGCAAGUCGAACGGCAGCACGGGAGCUUGCUCCUGGUGGCGAGUGGUGAACGGGUGAGUAAUGCAUCGGAACGUAUCCUGGAGUGGGGGAUAACGUAGCGAAAGUUACGCUAAUACCGCAUAUUCUGUGAGCAGGAAAGCGGGGGACCUUCGGGCCUCGCGCUCUUGGAGCGGCCGAUGUCGGAUUAGCUAGUUGGUGAGGUAAAGGCUCACCAAGGCGACGAUCCGUAGCAGGUCUGAGAGGAUGAUCUGCCACACUGGAACUGAGACACGGUCCAGACUCCUACGGGAGGCAGCAGUGGGGAAUUUUGGACAAUGGGGGCAACCCUGAUCCAGCCAUGCCGCGUGAGUGAAGAAGGCCUCGGUUGUAAG
rnacentral:rRNA from 1 species